rnacentral:lncRNA from 1 species
AGCUCGCUCCAGCGUCGGGAGAGAGAAGAACCCGGGCCCAGGCUCCAGCUUCAGGGCCCCGCGCCGCAGCUGCUCGGAGGCCGUUCCUAUCACCUCUUCAGCGGCUUCGACUGGGCUGCUAUUUGGGGCAUGAUCUUGUGAAAGGCUGAGAGGUGGGUUCUCGUGUGGGGUCUUGGUAUCCUGGCUCCUGCCCGCUCACAGCAGCCUUAGCGCCCGCUGACGCCGAGUCUGCACACCAGAGAGGGCAGGCUGCUAGGUCAACCCACUGGUGAGGGCACCAGCCUCACCCAACGUGAGCCAUGUGGGCUCAUCCCACACUGCCAGCCUGAUGCCCAGUGGUUCUUAACUGGGAAGGGCCCUGUGGCCCUCCAUGCUCUGAAGUUGGAUUCCACUGGCUUCAGGGACAGAGCCCGGGUUAGACGCAGCAUGUCCUGCCGGUGAGGAUGCCGACUCUGGACAGCCCUGGCUCCGGCAAGCUCUUCUUCCCGUGGUCCACCAGGGACGUCAGCAGAUGCCCCUCCCAGCAUGAUGGGAGGGUGCGGGAAGACCCAUGGGGCCAAACCGUCAGCCCCGUGCCUGGCCCAGGAGCAGGCUCAGUCGGUGCUUUAUUGAUUGGCACAUAUGGUAUGAUGACUGUAUUCGUGUUCCUCGGUUCAGAGAUGGUCCAGCCAGGCAGGACCAUGCUCUGCUCUCCCAGAUGUGAGGACCACACCUGCCCAUCCUCCGUCUCCAUCUGUUUCUCCAGCUCCUCUCCCUCCUGAGCGUCUCAGCCCUCACUGAGAAAGGCCACGAAAAUCAAACCCUGUGACUCCCACCCCGGGGAGCCGCAGCCCGAGGAGAAGGGAGAGCUUUCAAGAGAAUCCUGGGCUGCCCAGCCCCGCUUUGAUCCUUUGAAUGGGGGUCUUUUCCUGAUUUACCUGCUGGGUCCUCUCACACCUUCCUUCUGGGUGCUGAGCGGUGGCGGGGGUGGGGGACGGGGAUGGGCACGUGCAGGAGGGAAGGCACCUGGAGCCGUGCCAGGAACGAGUCCUUCUCAGGUUCCCAGGGAAACCCGCCUCCUCUGGCUGGAGCCCAGGAGGACGUCGCUCCACAGGCACGAAGAGCCUCAGCCGCCAGCCACCACCUCCUUCUUCCUGAGGUGUCCCCUCCCCAAAUGCUAAGUUUCCCUCAGAACACACCCAGCUGCAUUCAGUGUGGAGUGGGGGGUCUGGGGCCGAGUGGGACUGGAGUUCAUGAGCAUGACAUCAUCCCACACGGUGGGGUCUCUGGGGAGCUUUUCAUCCAUUCUGCAAAAAUGUCUCAAGUUCUUCCUGCAUUUAUGGUGCAGCACUCAGACCACGUUGGAUGAUGAGACUCAAGACAGUGCACCCCACUCCUGACCCGAGCAAGAGCAGAAAGUAGCAGGGACAGUGACAUCAAGGAAGGAAGACACCAGGUCCCUGGUGGCAUGGCACCAGGGCAUACUGCAUCCUCAGUGUGAGCAAGCAAAAGCAGAGCCUCCCUGGGCAUCCACAGGAUGGCCCUGGAGCCAGAAGGCCAGCUCCCGCCUGGCUGGUGACCAUGCUCAGCUGCUGGAGACUGUCACUGAAUACUUGAAUCUUGCAGGUCAUGGAAUCCCAGUUGGGUGGUCAGGGCCAGCGGAGUCUGGGGUACCAGCAAUGACACAGGAGCAGGGAGCAGGACCCUACCAAGGAGCUGGGCCUUGGGGCAGGAGGUGUCUAAGGGCUGGGCCUGGAGAUGGCCCCUGAGCUUUCUUUAUCCUGACGGUGAGUGACUUCUGCGGCGGGGUGAUAAAGGCAUUGCGGCCUCCACCUGGCUCUUGCAUCCUUCAGGGGGAGGUUGGCCACAUUGUGAGGCCCUGGAGAGCCUGUGGAGAAGUCCAUGUGGGAGGGACUGAGGCCCCUAGCCCACAGCCAGCACUACGGGGCUGCAGGAGUGAGCCUUCUCGGGAGCAGACCCCCAAACCCAGCCAAGCCUUUGGAUGUGUCUAUCCCUGCUGGACAGCAGCCUGGUGGGGGACCCGUCUGGAACCUCCCAGUCAAGGGGCUCCAGGAUUUCCCAGGUCGCAGAAACUGUUGUUGUCGAAUCCCGCAGGUAUCGGGACCUCUGACAGGGCCCGCAGGUCUGGUUCAGGGUGACGCGUCCUGAGUCUCCUCGUUCCCUGACACUGGGAAGGGGGGCUGGCCUGGCUGGGCUUGCUCCUCUCCAGUCCUCUCUGCACACCUGCCUUGACCUUCCCAUCCAGCCUCGGUCCAUGCCUCUGCACCUCUUCACGUUUCAUUCCCUCUAUCUGGGGACAUGUAGAGACGUUUCUUGAGGGCUGCUGUCAUUUUUUUAAGGUCAUAACCACCUUUUAAUUAUAUGAAGGGAGGAGCUGGAAGAGGUGGAGAGGUGGGGGGGGGGCAGCAGAGACUCUCAGAAGGGCAACAACCCAAAACCUAUUUUGUCUGCUCCUGAAAGCCUAGAAUGGGGGAAGCACAGACCCGUGUCCAGGCUCCUCACCGUCAACGCUGAGCCGCAUCCCCUGGGCGCGGCCCUCUCAGGCAGGAGGGCUCCCAGGAGCUUGCGCAGUGCAGGAGCAGCAACACCAUGCACGCUCGCAUGUGGGACCUGCAACCUGCCUCCUGCCCCGUCUUUGUUCUCUGUAUUCAGUGUCCACAGCUGGGAAGGGCCCCUCUGCAUGAGAUGGACACCCGGCUCUGAAGCUUGAGGUCCUGGCAGUUGGACCAACAGCUCCCUGACCCUCCAUGUAUACCAAGAUGUGCUCAAAAGGAGCAUUAAGCCAUGUUGGGGGGCAAAAUCAUCAGGCAGAGGCCCGUGGGUGUGCCAUGUACCCACAGUGCCACCACAGAGGCACCCCUUCAUGAGCGCUGGGCUCAGCCCAUACCCCCACCUCUGCCCAGGCAGCUAAUUAUCCCAGAGCUCUGGUAAUAGGAGGUGAGGCGGGGCGGGGAGAAGAGCCUAUAAUUAAGCCUGUGAGUCACAGAGGGCAGCAUCCAGUUCCCAAAGUGGCCACUCCUAACUUGGGAGUUAAGUGCAACUUUUUCCAUUAAAGUGAUAGACUCUUAGAAUUCUAUUUUUAUCUUAUUAUCUGCUCAAAUAGGCUCCACCUUCUUGCCUCUGGGGUAGAUCAUUGGAAUAAUGGUGCCCCCGUUAGUGGGUGCCCACCUGUACCCAUGCCCUUGAGGACACCCCUCCUGCACUGAUUCUGGGCCUGGCAUGUCCUAGGCUUUGACCAUGAGAUGGCAACUGGGACACAGUCAGAGGCUUCUCAGGUGCCUGUGCACUUUGCAGCCCCAAGGCCACCAUAUGAGGAGCCCGCUGGCCUCCUAGAGGACUAGAGCCAUAGGGAGCAGAGACCCCCCACCAACCCCUCUGCCACCUGCCAGAGCCCAGGUGAGGCUUCCCAGCCCCAGCCCCAACCCAGCCACCCAUAGCACCUAUGGAUCAGGCAGAAGGGCCCAGAAAAUAACUGCCUGGCUGAUCCAUGGAGAACAGAAAUACUAAAUGCUACUUUAAGCCAUGACAUUUUGAGUAGUUCAUUAUUAAUAUACCUUCCAGCCUCCACCAUGCCGUGGAUUGCUAGAGGUCUUAAGACUCUGUUUUACUGAAAAUUGUAUUUUCAUGCCUGGAAUAGCACAAUGUGUUGCAUGAAACACGCACACGUGUACAUACGUGUGUGCCUAUGCCCUGCGUGCACGUGUGCACAUGGGUGUGCCUGCCUGCGUGUGUGUGCACAUUGGUAGGCACACCCACAGGUUGCACAGGUGCCACGCGUGGGCAUGAAUACUUGGGCCCCCCAUGAACUCUCAUGCGUGCACACAUGCAUGUAUGAGCACACGUCUCUCACAUCAUGUGCCUUCUAAAUGAGUCAUGGAUGUAUGAAUGUCAAGUCACCCUCCUCAGCUUCCUGCCGGGCAAUCCCAUCGCACUGUCAGCAGCUGGCAGGUGCAGGUGAAGAACUCGACAUUUUCUCAAUUAGUUGAGAGUGAGACCACAGAAGCUCCCUGGGGUGGCAGUGAAGGUCUCGGGGUGUCAGACCAGGCCCCAUGGUACAGCACAGGUCUUAUGGUGGUCGAGUGCAGGGACCACCUCUUUCCACCCCGCGGACGCCCCUGGCUGGGCCCAAGCAUGCUGGCGGGCUAGUUCCUCACUGCACAUGGGUGGCGUCUGCCCUGUGGUCAGAGCCUGGGGAACAGCAGCACCUGCCCCCACCCCUGCCCGGCCCCACACCACCAGGGCUCUGAGCCCCCGCUGCACGGAGAGAGCCCCUCAGAGCUCGGGGCCCAAGGUCGGGAGCUGCUUGCUAGCGAUGGGCACAUCAGACAGAAGCCAUGCCCGGGUCUGGGCUGCACCCAGGCUUUGCUGCCGUUGCUGGCGGUUCUGGCGAUGGGACUGCGAUGGUACCCAGGCCUCAGGCACACCAGGAAGAGCACCCAGCUCCUGUACCCAGUCCUUAUGCCUCCAGCCUGGUGGCCACGGUCACGGGGCAGCCCCCCAGGACCCUGCACGACUCCACUUGCCUCUCGUCCCGAAGGCCAGACCCUAUUCCCUGAGAACUACUCUGCAGCCUCUGACUUCAGCAGAGCCUGCCCUGGUGGCCUGCUGGGUCUGGGCCAGUAGUGCGGCCCUGUGAGCUUCCAGGGCUGAUUGGACAGCAGACCCCAAAGCCGGAGCAGUCGUCCCACAGAGCACUUUCCCCAACUUAUUCUCAAGUACACAACAAUUAAAAAUAUGCUCCAGCAUGUUUACAACAGCAGAAGAUCCUGGGAACAUCUAAGUCUGUAUGCCCCAAGGGAGGCAGGACCCAAAUUCCAAAGGGAUGAAAUGAAAGGUGGUCCGCGCCUGUAACCCCAGCUGCUUGGGAGGCUGAGGCAGGAGGCUGUCAAACGGCAGGUUGGAGGCCAACCUCAGAGAGUAAGACCCUAUCUCAAAAUAAAAGUUUGAAAGGACUGGGGACGGGCUGGGGCUCGGGCUCAGUGGUAGACCACUUGCCUAGCAUGUGUGAGGCCCUGAGUUCGAUCCUCAACACCACAUAAAGAGUAAAAAGAAUAAAUAAAUACAAUAAAGGCAUUGUCUGUCUGUCUCUCUCUCUCUCU